GUGCUCACUUAGGCAGCACAUAUACUAAAAGGGAAACAAUACAGAGAAGAUUUACAAGGCCCUGUGCAAGAAUGACAUGCAAAUUUGUGAAGCAUUCCACAUUUUU
ensembl:snRNA U6 U6 spliceosomal RNA